AGCGAACGCUGGCGGCAGGCCUAACACAUGCAAGUCGAGCGGAGAUGAGGUGCUUGCACCUUAUCUUAGCGGCGGACGGGUGAGUAAUGCUUAGGAAUCUGCCUAUUAGUGGGGGACAACAUUCCGAAAGGAAUGCUAAUACCGCAUACGUCCUACGGGAGAAAGCAGGGGAUCUUCGGACCUUGCGCUAAUAGAUGAGCCUAAGUCGGAUUAGCUAGUUGGUGGGGUAAAGGCCUACCAAGGCGACGAUCUGUAGCGGGUCUGAGAGGAUGAUCCGCCACACUGGGACUGAGACACGGCCCAGACUCCUACGGGAGGCAGCAGUGGGGAAUAUUGGACAAUGGGGGGAACCCUGAUCCAGCCAUGCCGCGUGUGUGAAGAAGGCCUUAUGGUUGUAGAGCACUUUAAGCGAGGAGGGGGCUACUGAGACUAAUACUCUUGGAUAGUGGACGUUACUCGCAGAAUAAGCACCGGCUAACUCUGUGCCAGCAGCCGCCGUAAAAC
rnacentral:rRNA from 1 species